GACAAACGCUGGCGGCAUGCCUAACACAUGCAAGUCGAACGGACAGAACAGAGAAGCUCUUCGGAGUGGAACUGGAAAGUUAGUGGCGGAUGGGUGAGUAACGCGUGGACAACCUACCUUGUAAAGGGGAAUAACCUCGAGAAAUCGAAGCUAAUACCCCAUAAUAACCUUGAUUCGCAUGUAUUGAGGAGGAAAGGCGGCCUUAGCGCUGUCGAUAGAAGAUGGGUCCGCGUCUGAUUAGCUAGUUGGUGAGGUAAAGGCUCACCAAGGCGACGAUCAGUAGCCGGCCUGAGAGGGUGAACGGCCACAUUGGGACUGAGACACGGCCCAAACUCCUACGGGAGGCAGCAGUGGGGAAUCUUCCGCAAUGGGCGAAAGCCUGACGGAGCAAUGCCGCGUGAGUGAAGAAGGCCUUCGGGUUGUAAAACUCUGUCCUAGACGAAGAGAGAGUAUUGUAG
rnacentral:rRNA from 1 species